rnacentral:rRNA from 1 species
UUCCUACGGGAGGCAGCAGUGGGGAAUUUUGGACAAUGGGCGCAAGCCUGAUCCAGCAAUGCCGCGUGCAGGAAGAAGGCCUUCGGGUUGUAAACUGCUUUUGUCAGGGAAGAAAUCCUCUGGGUUAAUACCUCGGGGGGAUGACGGUACCUGAAGAAUAAGCACCGGCUAACUACGUGCCAGCAGCCGCGGUAAUACGUAGGGUGCGAGCGUUAAUCGGAAUUACUGGGCGUAAAGCGUGCGCAGGCGGCUUUGCAAGACAGAUGUGAAAUCCCCGGGCUCAACCUGGGAACUGCAUUUGUGACUGCAAGGCUAGAGUACGGUAGAGGGGGAUGGAAUUCCGCGUGUAGCAGUGAAAUGCGUAGAUAUGCGGAGGAACACCAAUGGCGAAGGCAAUCCCCUGGACCUGUACUGACGCUCAUGCACGAAAGCGUGGGGAGCAAACAGGAUUAGAUACCCUGGUAGUCCACGCCCUAAACGAUGUCAACUGGUUGUUGGACGGCUUGCUGUUCAGUAACGAAGCUAACGCGUGAAGUUGACCGCCUGGGGAGUACGGCCGCAAGGUUGAAACUCAAAUGAAUUGACGGAA